GACGAACGCUGGCGGCGUGCUUAACACAUGCAAGUCGAACGGAAAGGCCCUGCUUUUGUGGGGUGCUCGAGUGGCGAACGGGUGAGUAACACGUGAGUAACCUGCCCUUGACUUUGGGAUAACUUCAGGAAACUGGGGCUAAUACCGGAUAGGAGCUCCUGCUGCAUGGUGGGGGUUGGAAAGUUUCGGCGGUUGGGGAUGGACUCGCGGCUUAUCAGCUUGUUGGUGGGGUAGUGGCUUACCAAGGCUUUGACGGGUAGCCGGCCUGAGAGGGUGACCGGCCACAUUGGGACUGAGAUACGGCCCAGACUCCUACGGGAGGCAGCAGUGGGGAAUAUUGCACAAUGGGCGGAAGCCUGAUGCAGCAACGCCGCGUGCGGGAUGACGGCCUUCGGGUUGUAAACCGCUUUCGCCUGUGACGAAGCGUGAGUGACGGUAAUGGGUAAAGAGGCACCGGCUAACUACGUGCCAGCAGCCGCGGUGAUACGUAGGGUGCGAGCGUUGUCCGGAUUUAUUGGGCGUAAAGGGCUCGUAGGUGGUUGAUCGCGUCGGAGGUGUAAUCUUGGGGCUUAACCCUGAGCGUGCUUUCGAUACGGGUUGACUUGAGGAAGGUAGGGGAGAAUGGAAUUCCUGGUGGAGCGGUGGAAUGCGCAGAUAUCAGGAGGAACACCAGUGGCGAAGGCGGUUCUCUGGGCCUUUCCUGACGCUGAGGAGCGAAAGCGUGGGGAGCGAACAGGCUUAGAUACCCUGGUAGUCCACGCUGUAAACGGUGGGUACUAGGUGUGGGGUCCAUUCCACGGGUUCCGUGCCGUAGCUAACGCUUUAAGUACCCCGCCUGGGGAGUACGGCCGCAAGGCUAAAACUCAAAGGAAUUGGCGGGGCCCCGCACAAGCGGCGGAGCAUGCGGAUUAAUUCGAUGCAACGCGUAGAACCUUACCUGGGUUUGACAUGGAUCGGGAGUGCUCAGAGAUGGGUGUGCCUCUUUUGGGGUCGGUUCACAGGUGGUGCAUGGCUGUCGUCAGCUCGUGUCGUGAGAUGUUGGGUUAAGUCCCGCAACGAGCGCAACCCUUGUUCACUGUUGCCAGCACGUUAUGGUGGGGACUCAGUGGAGACCGCCGGGGUCAACUCGGAGGAAGGUGGGGAUGACGUCAAGUCAUCAUGCCCCUUAUGUCCAGGGCUUCACGCAUGCUACAAUGGCUGGUACAGAGAGUGGCGAGCCUGUGAGGGUGAGCGAAUCUCGGAAAGCCGGUCUCAGUUCGGAUUGGGGUCUGCAACUCGACCUCAUGAAGUCGGAGUCGCUAGUAAUCGCAGAUCAGCAACGCUGCGGUGAAUACGUUCCCGGG
rnacentral:rRNA from 1 species